rnacentral:snRNA from 1 species
GAUGAGCUCAACGAGAAC